GUGGGGAAUAUUGGACAAUGGGCGAAAGCCUGAUCCAGCCAUGCCGCGUGUGUGAAGAAGGUCUUCGGAUUGUAAAGCACUUUAAGUUGGGAGGAAGGGCAGUAAGUUAAUACCUUGCUGUUUUGACGGUACCCAAAGAAUAAGCACCGGCUAACUUCGUGCCAGCAGCCGCGGUAAUACGAAGGGUGCAAGCGUUACUCGGAAUUACUGGGCGUAAAGCGUGCGUAGGUGGUGGUUUAAGUCCGUUGUGAAAGCCCUGGGCUCAAUCUGGGAACUGCCUCCAAAACUGCAUGACUAAAGUACGGUAGAGGGUAGUGGAAUUUCCUGUGUAGCGGUGAAAUGCGUAGAUAUAGGAAGGAACACCAGUGGCGAAGGCGACUACCUGGACUGAUACUGACACUGAGGUGCGAAAGCGUGGGGAGCAAACAGGAUUAGAAACCCUAGUAGUCC
rnacentral:rRNA from 1 species